AGCGAACGCUGGCGGCAGGCCUAACACAUGCAAGUCGAACGGUGUAGCAAUACACAGUGGCAGACGGGUGAGUAACGCGUGGGAACCUUCCAUUUAGUACAGAAUAGCCCAGGGAAACUUGGAUUAAUACUGUAUACGCUCUCCGGGGGAAAGAUUUCUAGCUAAAUGAUGGGCCCGCGUAAGAUUAGCUAGUUGGUGAGGUAAUGGCUCACCAAGGCUAGGAUCUUUAGUUGGUCUGAGAGGACGAUCAGCCACCCUAGAACUGAGAAACGUUCCAGACUCCUACGGGAGGGAGCAGUGGGGAAUAUUGGACAAUGGACGCAAGUCUGAUCCAGCCAUGCCGCGUGAAUGAUGAAGCCCUUAGGGUUGUAAAGUUCUUUAGACGGGGAAAAUUAUGAUGGUACCCGUAGAAUAAGCACCGGCUAACUUCGUGCCAGCAGCCGCCGCCG
rnacentral:rRNA from 1 species